CUCACCCGCUUUUAAGUGUCCGUCACAGCAGGCGUGGAAACCUGGAGGUUCCCUCCAGAUUUCACGACGCUUUCUUUCCACUCUACUUAUGUUUCAGGUCUUGGAUCUGUUCCUGGGCUCCUGCACUCUGAUAUCCAUCUCACCCGCUUGUAAGCAUCCGUCACAACCCGGCUACAACAGCAGAAGACUACAUCAGGUCCCAGUCCUGUCAACUAAGACAGCACAGGCCUACCAAAAUUGGAAAUUAGAAGACUGGAAAAACAAUAUGAGCAACAUUCAGAAGAAAGUGAACCACAACAUGUGGCAACAGAGCCCACAAACAUGAGCUCAUUCCUCUUGAGGGAAACUAGCAACUGAAAAAAACAGAGAUAGAAAGAGAGAAAGUCCCAGUGUUCCUCUCCACAUCCAUUUGUCUUUGGACUACAUUCCUGCUCCUCUUCCUC
ensembl:lncRNA